UGGGGAAUAUUGGACAAUGGGCGCAAGCCUGAUCCAGCAAUGCCGCGUGAGUGAGGAAGGCCUUAGGGUUGUAAAGCUCUUUCACCCGCGACGAUGAUGUCGGUAGCGGGAGAAGAAGCCCCGGCUAACUUCGUGCCAGCAGCCGCGGUAAUACGAAGGGGGCGAGCGUUGUUCGGAUUUACUGGGCGUAAAGGGCGCGCAGGCGGCUACAUUUGUCAGGCGUGAAAGCCCCGGGCUUAACCUGGGAACUGCGUUUGAUACGGUGUGGCUAGAGUUCGGGAGAGGAGAGUGGAAUUCCCAGUGUAGAGGUGAAAUUCGUAGAUAUUGGGAAGAACACCGGUGGCGAAGGCGGCUCUCUGGACCGAGACUGACGCUGAGGCGCGAAAGCGUGGGGAGCAAACAGGAUUAGAUACCCUGGUAGUCCACGCUGUAAACGAUGUGUGCUAGACGUUGGGGAGCCUAGCUCUUCGGUGUCGCAGCUAACGCGGUAAGCACACCGCCG
rnacentral:rRNA from 1 species